UACGAAGGGGGCUAGCGUUGCUCGGAAUCACUGGGCGUAAAGCGCACGUAGGCGGACUCUUAAGUCGGUGGUGAAAUCCUGGAGCUCAACUCCAGAACUGCCUUCGAUACUGAAGAGCUUGAGUCCGGGAGAGGUGAGUGGAACUGCGAGUGUAGAGGUGAAAUUCGUAGAUAUUCGCAAGAACACCAGUGGCGAAGGCGGCUCACUGGCCCGGUACUGACGCUGAGGUGCGAAAGCGUGGGGAGCAAACAGG
rnacentral:rRNA from 1 species